rnacentral:ncRNA from 1 species
GGAUGAGGACGGCCUCACCAUCUUGGUCAUCAUGCGGGACGGCCCGG